GAAAAUGCAUGAAUAGAGAGGUUUUUUUACUUAGAACUUCAGAAGCACUCUGCAACAUCACACAGGGGAAGAACCACAGACCUGCGUUUUCGUACAUUAUAUUUGUGUAUUAUACGUUUAUUCACAUCUUUGUCUUUCAUCCACCAUCAUAACCAGCCAUGAGGGCAUCGUUGAUAUUUCUAUUUGUGAUACUGAUGGGUGACCAAAGUCAAUGCCAAAGUGGGGAUUAUGAAAUUGAAUACGAACAUGAACCGGGUCCAGACAUCCUGGGACUGAUCAAACAGACUGCACUGGGCAAGGAAAUCAGUGACAAGAUCUCAGAGAGUGUGGAUGCAAUCAAUCAAUAUGCCCAAGCCGUGGGAAGCAAGGCCCAGUCUAUGUUUGAUAACCUGGGUCGUCAAGCUGAACGUGAAGCCAUGUUUGCCAAACAAGAUAUCCAGAACAACGCCAUUGCUGCUGUCCAGAACGUCCACGGCCGGCUAACGCAGAGUGCUGGGGACAUGCGGCUGAAGACUGAGUCACUCAUCGAGGCGGUUGCACACUCCCUGCAGAUUCAUCUUCACGUGUUUUGGGAGUCACUGACAAAAGGAAAUGAAACACACCCUCUGUUCCAGUGAGAUGCCCAAUGCCAGUGUGAUGGAGGCCCAUGAGUGUGCAUGUCAAUCUUACCUAGAUUAGGUGGGCCAUACCCGCUUAAUACUAUUUAUGAUGUGAAUGAUAAUCUUGCUCUCUCAUUUUUAUCACAACAAAUUCAUCUAGCAGCAGUUUUUCAUUGCUGUUUGUAUUCCUCAAUAACUGAAUGGAGUGUUAAGAGUUGAAUGCUAAGUACACAGAGUGCAAUAAACUCUACUCUCAAACUGUACUCUCAUACUGUUCAUUUAUUAUCUGUUCAUUUAGGCUUCCGCUGAACUACAGAGGCAAAAACAGUAGGCCAGUAUUACUGGGAGUGGACUUUCUUCGGUGCACUAUGGAGCUUCAUGGCUAAAGAUAUGUUACACAACGCUUCAAGAAAUCAUGCAGUUGCAACUACGACUCCGCUCACACAGGAUUGAAGAGUUGCGAUGAAGGUGUCGGCAGCAGUUGUGCUGGUUUUGAUCAGUGCGGCUUGCCAUGGCUAUGAGGAGCAUGUGGCCCUGGAGAACAGCCUAUUAGAAGCCUGGGGACUGGACGAGACUGACCCCUGGGAUUCCCUGAGGGGGUUAGGGGCUGAGGUGCACCGAGCAUUUACACAUGCAUUGGCCGGUGAUGUCAGGAACGAGAUCUCUGGGGGGGUUGACACGGCCGUCCGCUUUGGGAUGUCCAUGUUGAACGACGCAAGAGAUACGGGGGAGAGCGUGUGGGAGCAGAUCUCGGAGGAGGCGGAAAAGCUGGCCAGUCAGCUGGAGGAGGACAUGAGCCGCCGGUUGGAGGCCAUCGAGAGUCACGCCGAGGCCUACACUCAGGAGGCGCGCAGGAAGAUCGACCAGAAUCUACUGGAGAUCCAGAAGAACACCAUCCCUGUGGUCCAGACCUUCCAGGGCCAGCUGGCCCAGACGGCGCUGAAUAUCCGCACGAGCGCCGAGUUCUUUAUCGGAGAGUUUGCGUCACUCUGGGAACCUGCUCUACAACAAGAUUAAGCUCGCUGCUUAGAUUUUUUCCUUAGUGUAGAAGCUCAGCGAUACUGUAUUUUUACGGAGAUCAUGCUAUGGCUUGAUGUUGCCUUGUUUGAAUCCCAGACACUUUACUAUUAGAAGAGAUUAUCUUUGCAGUAUUCAGAAUCAUGUGUCAAUAAAGGGCUUCAGCAACAGUUGUGUGUUCCUGAGUUAACCAAUUUUUUUUUUUUUUUAAAUCACCUUCUAGUCUACCUAUAAGGGCAUAGCUCUGAAAACCUCAAGGUAGUUUUAUAGCAUAUUUGGUUUGGAAGUAUGGUAAGCACUGUUUAUUUUGUGGUGCCAGGA
ensembl:lncRNA